CCGGGCACCGCGCGCCGAUUGGCCGCCGCCCCGCGCCGCCCCUGCCCCUAUAUAAGGCGGAGCUGCAGGGUAACGAGCCGUCGCUGCCCGGGUCGCGUCUGGUGGCUUCGCUCGGGAUGGUGCGUGGCCGGCCGCGCUCCGUGUACAGCGGGGUAGCCAGCCGCCCGCGCCGGGUGCCUGGCACGGAGUGCAGCGGGGAGCGCCCGUGAGCCAGGGAGUUCCAAGAUGCCGCCUCAGACAUCUCAAAACUGAUAGCAAGGACUGAAGAACCACUUUUAAGAUCGGAGAAUUGACCUGAAAUACUGACCAUGUCUAUUAUGGAUCACAGCCCCACCACUGGAGUGGUGACUGUAAUAGUCAUUCUGAUUGCUAUUGCUGCUCUUGGUGCCUUGAUACUGGGCUGCUGGUGUUACCUGCGUCUGCAAAGGAUCAGCCAGUCUGAAGAUGAAGAGAGCAUUGUGGGAGAAGGAGAAACCAAAGAGCCUUUCCUUUUGGUGCAGUAUUCUGCUAAAGGACCUUGUGUAGAGAGAAAAGCAAAGCUGACUCCUAAUGGCACAGAAAUUCAUAGCUAACUUUGAGCAGCACAGAUGUGUAUCUGGACUACACUUAAGAUGUCUGUAAUCAGCAGAACUGAUACUGUGAAGAAAUUGGACAUACAUACUGCUCUCUCUUAAAACACCUUGAGAUAAGACUUCAAAGUUAUGGUUUUAUUGGUUUGCCACUGCAUGCACUGAGAAACUAUACUAUCCAUCAAUCCUGUAUUUUAACUCCUUAGUGCUAAGAGGUGACUUCUCUGGUAUAAAGUCCAUUGCUGGCAAUGGACAUGCAGGGAUAUGCUGGCAUGAAAAGACUAAUAGCAUUUUUGUUACUUGAAUGUUUAGCUGAGCCUAUUUUGAUGGAACUGCUACUGUAAUGUGAACUACUUAAAACUGUGAACUGUAAAUAGGCUGCCAGGAGUUCUGGCUUUUUGUUAUCCAGCAUAUGGAAGUGGUAUGAAGUUAUUCUUAGUAACACACAUUUGGACAUCUGAGCCACAUGAUUACAGAUUGGAUGCCAGACCUUCAAAACCAAAUCUGCAGUUAAAGUCUGUUUCUGCUAUGAAGUUCUGAGUGCAUAACCGUAAAGACAGAAUGGUUGCUUUUUAUUUUUUGGUUUUAAACCUCUUAUGGGACUGAUUCAGAACACUCUCUCUGAAUGCAGGUAUAUAUAAUCUCAUUAAGGUAAUUGAGGCAGAAAGGAUAGGGGUUAUAAGGAAGGAACUGUACCUCUCUUCCUUUAGGGUAGAUUAAGCUGUUAGCAGCUAAUACUGUGAUUGUCCUAGCCAUGUAGCUACUGCAAGGAAACUGCCAUUUUAGCAGAUUCCAGUCUGGGAACUAAUGAUGGCUACUUCAUGCAUGGUCCAGAAGGUUUCCAGUGGAGUUAAAAAUAGCAGUAGAGCAGAUCUUUCCCUCCUGUUAGCAAGCAUGUUAAUUACAGAAGUGGUGUUUUCACUAGAACUGGCAUUGAUGUAACUAUUCCUCUUUUUCCCCCCAUAGCCACUGUUUAUAUGUGUACCUAGUAGUUGGGGCAUAUGUAAACAUGAAGCUAAACAGCCAACUGUGCAAACUGUUUUUAGUCUAGAUACCAAAUUGUCUACAGUUAAUGUAUUUUGUAGAUAAGGUUUUUUUGAUUCUUAACUUACAGGGCAGACUGAAAUUUGUCUUGUAACAGCUAACUAAAUUUUGGGUGUGUUGGAAAGAGGGAAGGGAAAAGCUUGUUUGUGGGUAGGUAUAGGGUUUUUUAAAAAAAUAUUUUGGUGUAAUCUGAAGUACCUUCACACAAAGGGCCCCUCAUUUCCUAACCUUUCCCUUCUCUGUACUACAGAGAAACCUAUAACAGGUACUGGGAGUGAAAAAUUAUAGGCUGUAAACAGUACCAUAGGUUCUGAACAAUCAUUCAACCAUGGCUAAAAUGUUCUAGAUUUCCUAACUUCUAGGCCUGCAUAUUCCAGUAACUACCCAGCUUUUAUCAGUUCAUAUGUAGCUAAGGAAUUCCUUUAGUUUAAGUUAAACUCCCUAGCACACUGAGAUGCAAAGAGGGUGUGUGUGUGUGUACACAAGUAGUAGAUGAUGCAAAAGGUCAACCACCACCAUCUGUGUGGGGGGAACAGUUAUUUUGCUAAACACUGGUGUGAAUGAUGGCUUAUACAUUGCGAAUAACACUAUUUAUUCUCAGCUAGCUAGGCUUUAAUGACUUUGUCUGCAAGCAAAUGAUAGUCCACUUAUGAACUAAAUUGCUAGCUCCCUCCAGGACAAGCUGCUGAGUUGCAUUCUUAUUCCUGUGUGCACUGAUUAAACUGAGGCUAGAAAAUGAAGUGUCUUUCACUGCAAAGCAAAUCCAUUGCUACUAAUGGACAAGCGCUUCCUUCCUCUAAGUGCAGUGUGGAAUACAACUGCCUAGGGAGGGGGCAAACACUGUAUUGUAUACUUACUGGCUCCAAAGAUGCCAAUUUUAAUUUUUCAGCCCAUGGUUUGAGGCACUGGCCUAUACAUGCACACUGGAUUCUUAACUGCAUAUAUGCUGGGCAAUCAAUAAGUAGACUUUGCUUGUUUGGGAUGCCAAACUUUAUUCUCCUUCCCCCACUUGUGGGGUUUUUUGGGGUGGACAGCAGGCGGAGGGAACACUAGUGGGAUGCAUAAGGAGGCUGGAUGAGAUUAUUCUGCCUUUUGUUCCCCAUAGUGAAACAUCUAUGAAAAUCUGUUCCCUAACUUACGAUUCAAAGACAACUGUAGGUUAAUUGUGGCACAUGUAAAAGUGGUAUGCAGAGUUGCUGAAAUCCUACAACAGGAAUGACAGAAUAUUUUAACCAUUUGACUUUUCAUUCAAGUUUACUAAAUAAACAAAUUCAUCAUUUCCAGUCAAUUCUGUAAACAAAGGCAAAAUGCAGUGAAGAUGGCUAACUUCAGCUGUUUCUUAGAAAAGUAUAAAUUGUCAAGUUCCUAAAUAAGAACACUUCCUCUGGGAGACAUGGGAAGAAGCCAGUGCAAAAAUUGCUCCUUUGGUAGGAAAUGCUUCACUCUGCUGUCCCUGGGAAUUUACUGUUUUUAACCUAGGUUAAAUUAAUAAAAUGGCUAUCAAAUUAGUGCAAUCAUAAAGUGGAAAGUGUUUUCCAUAUCUCCAUUUAGGUUUCAAGAUCUGGUAAAUUGUUUGAAGUAUUGCAGAAAUUCUGGUUUGAUUUUUCUAGACAAUUGGAAAAUAUUUUAUUUACAACAAAUAAAAUUUGCAUAAAUACCUUCCCAAUGCAGUGUCAUUCCUGAUUUUUUCCCCCCACCCCCCAUAGCAUAAAUAAUUAUUCUGUCCUGUUUUCUUUAUGCUCAGUCCCUGUGGUAUCAAUAUUGGAAACAUCAAGCCUUUCUCUUUCAUGAAAUCUGUCUAUAGCAGUUAGAACUGGGCCAGUAUUGUGGGUGGAAAGAGUCUCCUCUGACUGAACGGAUUUCUUGGUUUCAUCUUUGUUCUCUAGCUUCCCCUCCAUUGAUGCUAGCAGGACUUUUAGUAAAGCAUUCUCUGUAAGGAGGUUUUCUGAUGCAUCUGCUAAUUCUUGAAGCUUCUCGGCCAUUUCUUCUAAUUCUCUGUUCUUCUGUUCAGAUAGUGCCUGUAAUUGUUCACUGUGGAGCUGGAGAAUACUGUGCUGCUUUUCCAGUGUAUGCUUCUGCUGCUGUAGUUUAUGUUCUUCUCUUCUGGCUUCAGAAAGUUGGGCUUCCAGCUGAUCUUGAGCCUGGUGUAGUGCACUGACUUCGGAUCUCAAUUUCUGAAUCUCACUCCUUAAGUGGGAGAUAUGCUUUUGCUGUAACACACUCUCUUUCUGUGGACAUUCUUUGGUGCAGGGCUCUGAGUCAGGUGCAGCUGAAGGUAGACUUGAGUAAUGUAAAAUGAAUUUAAGCAGAUUAGGAAGAGUAACUGAAAAAUCUUCAGGAAACUUCACACUCUUGUCCUUCCUAUGAAAAUAUACAGGUAGAUUAGUGCAUUUAAAAUGUCUUUGGCUAUUUAUCUGAACACUGUAAUUCGGUUUAGAUUUUAAACUGGUGGUAUCAAAACUAAAUUUCUAGAUAUCACUUCUAUUUAACUACCACUCUGUACGCUUGAUUUUGAGCAAGAAAAUCCUAAUGCUUUUUCCAUAAUAUAACCUACACCAACAUUGUGGAGGGGCAAAUUAAGAUUAUUUUCAUGCUUCCAAAAAUUAACACUCCACAUUAGGAUAGAGCUUGCUAUCCAUUAGAUAAACCUCAUUAAGUUUCCUUCCUGACUUCAGAGAGGUAAUAAAUCAAUUUGAUUUUUUUUUUAAUCUUUAGUUUUUUUGCAAUGCAAUACUACUUUUCGAUGCAUCUUGUAUUUUCCCACUUAAACAGUACUUUACCUUAACAUGAAUACAGUGAUAAGCCAGUUAUAGUUCUGAUUUUCAUCCUCACAUGAAUACCACUGAAGAAUCCAUUAACAAAGUAGGGGAAGAAAAAUGUUUACACUAAGUAAUCUGAACCCCACACUAUACUACUUUCAUUCAGCAAGAGGCAUUCUAAAGAUGUCAAUGUCUGCUACCAAUACUGAUGUCUUCAGAGCAUAGUUACAUUAACAACUAAUACCUACUUCAGAACCAGAUGUCGUUUUAGCAAGCAAUGGGUUCUAUUUUGUCAUCCUAUUAUUUGGUGAAAACAAAUGGAGGUUGGAAGAUGGCUAAAACUGGUUUAGCACAUACAUGAUACAGAGCUUGACUUCACAAUAUCUCCUUGUGAAAAACUUGAUUUUUCAAACAGACCUGACACGCGUUUCCUCUAGUAAACUUGUCCCGAGUUUUACUUGAUGCAUGUACUGUGCAAAACCUCUUGUCCAAGACUACUACUCCCUCAAAGGCAUUUCUUCAAAAGCAGCUUCUUCUCUUUCCCUUCCCCAAACUACAGCCCUUCCUUCCUACCACAAGAAUACCAUGCAUACAAUUCUGGAAGCUUAGACUCAGUAGUGUUGCAAGCAGAAUUUAAGACUUACUGUACACAACGGGAUGGGAACUUAUUUUUCCAUCACUACCUCAAAAUGUUGAGGCCCAAACUUCUUAGGGGUUACAUUCUGCUGUUACUUAAAUUGACUUACAGUAGAUCUAGUCCCCACUCGUCAGAAUUGUCCACUUAUUUGAAAACUACUUAUCUAGCAUCUAUCACCACCUACACCACUCAGACAUCACUUAAUUCAGUAUAUGGCUGAUCAUUCAGCAAGCAAACCAUUGCUUGAGCAUUUUAUAACUGUUCCAUGGACUACUAUGGCAGGCAGGUUACAUGUAUAUAAUUCAAGACAGUAUUAGAUGUGUUUUCUAAUCAUUGGAAUCCUGCCUAUGUUAAAGGGGCUACCUCAUUUGUUGUACUCUAGCCCCUCAGUGGAUCUGCUAAGGUUACUAAGAGUCCUUUGACUUGCUUGAGAGGGGAGACGAUGUUUCUCUGUUCUGGAAGUUACUUUUGCUCUUUGCUCACCCAUUCUAGUUCAGAAAAUCCCAUCUAACAACUCUUAAGGUAAACUGUAGGGCAUAAAUAUCUACAUGCUUCCUCAGGAAAUGGGCUGAAGCGGUGAAUCCUAUGAAUGGGAGGGGGGAAGAUGGGGAGGGUUGACAUUUAAUUUGCAGGUGCAAUUAGAAAAAAAAAAAGCUUUAGUGUCCUACAAGCUGAUAAUAUAUCUUGCAUCUAAAGGCAACUUUCAUGCUGCUUAAACAAUUUUGAUAGAGGUAUAAGCCUCCUAGCUCAAUGUUAUCGAAGUAGUUGAAACCGAGUACUUGGUCCUUCAUUUCUGCAAAUAAUACAGGGUAGAAAAAAAAACCCUUUAGUUUCACUGUACUUAAGGCACACCCCAUGACUUUUAGUUUACAAUUGGUGUUUGAGAUAUUUUUUUUUUGGAAACUGAAAUGAUACACUAGGCCAUUGUAUCUAAGGGAAAAUAGAGCUAGUCCUAGUGGACAAGGCUUUUCUGAUUCAAUAUUUCCAAAGGCUUAAUGCUACAAGGAAAAUACGAACACAAAGCAUAGCACUAUAGCAAAUCUAAACUUUGACUGACAAGUGCCUGUUAACUAAAGCCAUAAUAAUUGGUAAUAAAUAAAAAUCCUUCUUCCAAAGCAGCACAAGUUGUGUAGUUUGUGUCAAAGUUCCUGCUGUAGAAACACCAAUUUGACAACUUAGUUCCAGGAAAAAUAUUAUAGUACACUUUAUGAUGCAAUGUUCAUUUGCCAAAUCAGUAAGUAGAGUAUUCAUGCUAUCAGGAAACUUCCACCCCUUGUUUCUGAAGUGAAUAUUCCUAGGGAAGAAAAAAUUAAUCAUUCCCUCUUUCAUUCAGUGAGAGAGGUAAACAUGCUCCUAAAGCUCAGGCUUACUUUAUGAUACCCUGCUGCGAAGCAUAAGCCAGUAUUCAAUCUGAAAGACUGAACACUAACAAAGCAAAAACUUAAUUGGUGAGUGAAAUAGCAGACACAUACUUCCCAUAACACAGUAACAAAUGGAGAUUCUUUAAGUGCAUCAGAAGGACCCCUUUUCAGUGUGCAUUGCUGCUCAGCUUAAACUAUUCAAACUUACUACUCAAUUUGAUAACUUUAACGUUUUUUUCCCCAACAUUCACCCAUGUAGUAGCACUACAGCCAGUCCGAGGAACACAGAGAUGAUGUUCCAUCUCUAAGUUCCUGUAAUGCUCCCCUGUGUUUGACUUCUACAAGAAAAAUAGAACUUGAAGCUUAGCACAGGUAGUUUGCAGAUAAGAAGCUGGUCUGCAGCACUAUUUCUGACUGGAUUCCCUGUGAAAGAGCUGACCUCCAGAAGCAACCUCAAUAAAUUCAGUGAAAAGCUUUUAUUUGAAGCUUGUAAAAUCAUAACCUAUUAUUGAUUAUCUCAUAAUGAAAAACUUGAUUUUUUUUGGCGUUGAGCUCAGAAUGGAAAUGACCCAGCACAAAAGAGCUGUUUUUAUCCCUGACCUUCCCCCAGUGCCUCAUUUGGUUUUGGAAUGGAAGUAUAGUGCCUUCCCAUUUAAAUUCUUCUUGAAAGGAAACACUAAGCACCUUUCGGGGCUUAGAAUAAAAGCACAGGUAUGAAUGAGCAGAACUUGGGCCACAGAAGCAUACACUCCAAAGCUAGGGAAUCUGCCUACAUUUGAGGGUAGAGGACCAGAAUUUGGGCCUAAGUUUACAACAAUCAUAUUUUCUCCUACUUGAGCAGUUUAUCGCAGUCCAGACAGGUGAAUAACAGGGUAGCUUUCUAAAAGCUGUUUUAAUUUCCUUAACUCUAGAACAGGUCACAAGUAGCCAGCCCCUCCCCCUUUUCGAUUUAUGAAAGGGAACAAAAUACUAACCCAGCUUUUGUAAAGGAAAUGGUUGCAUAAUGCCCUUCAACCAUAAAACAAUUGUGUCGUAAUCCUUUUUUGGUUUAUUAAACAAAUCUAUAGGGUGCCAUACAAAAAUGGGUUAAAUGUCAGGAAGAAUUAAGCUUUCCUUUAUUUAGAGGAUAAUGUACAAGAAAGGGGUUUCUGCAGAAAAUGUAGUUACUCUGAUGUGUUAAGAAACCAAUUAAUCAACAGUCAUAAAAUACUGACUCCUUUAAAAUGGAGGAACCAGAUUAAAUGUCCCUGUAAAGAAAAUCAGAUUUUUCUUUUCUGCUUUGUAAGAAUCUGGGUUUUAAGAUCUAGGUGUCCAAAGCACUGAUGACCAUGGCCAGAAUCCUGUGAAAAGGCAGUAUUAAUGAAGAAAGAGGGUUUCUUUAUUUAGUUUUCUGCAGCCACAGACUUACAGAAGCUACCACUCAAACUUUCUAUUUUAAAACAAAGGGUAUGAAAGGUAGUUAGGCCCUAUUCCACCAUGUUAAUGAGCAGGGAAAGCCUUGUGUUUAAGAGUAAAUGCUACUGCACCUCAGCUGAAGGGAAAGAAAGAUUCUCUCCUACUCUUGUCCUUGCCCUAAGAAGAUUACUGGAAUAUGCAGUAUUCAGUCCUGUAUGUCAUUUUAAUAGAAAACCACACUUGCAAAUGCUCAACAACAAUCACCACCAUACUGCAUUUUCCUCAGGUGGGUUUUUAAACUGCAGGUACCCAACAAAAUGGCACAGUUAGACUUCGAAACAAUGUUAAAGUUGUUGAGGAGAAGUGGGUGUGGGUAAAGAAACAACUCAUGUAUCUUCAGAAACUCCAACUGUGAUCAUAAUCCCUCCGUCCAAAUUCAGGGAUUUAUUGAAAAGCACCAGCUGCACUCUUUUCUACAAAGUUCCUCUGUUUGCCAAAUCAGUAACGGACGGGAUUUACAGCAUGUAAUAUGCACACAGUGUGACCCAUCAAAUUGGAUAAACUCAUAUCGAUCACCCAGAGGAAGUACUGAGAGGGGGAGCCUGGCUGUGAGUGAAUCAAAGUGAGAUGGGUAAAAGCAUUACAUGCGGAAUGCACCCAAAAUGUACUAUUCAGAAAGAAGAAAGAUUCAACACUAUAGCCCAGUCCUGGUAUUGAAUCAGUCAGCAAAUAUACCCUUUAGACCAGGAGAUAAAACAACAGAAGUGGAUGUUUCAAAGAUGACUAAAUGAUAGGAGUAUUAUACCUUACAUAGCUCUGUGAAACAAAACAGUGAAAAACUCUUUGAAUUCUGUUUAGCUGCCUAAUCCAUGAAAGAAUCAAACUGCAAAACCAUUAUCAUGCUUAGACUUGGUGAAUGACGCAAAGAUCCCUGAAGUUAAUGGGAGUUUUGAUGAACUAAGGAUAAAACUUCCAUUACCAUAAAAUACAGAAGCUGCAGCUUCCCUUACUUAAAAGACUCAGCAGUGAAGCACACAAAAAUCAUUGUUCCUAAUGCCAAGAUCAUGCAGGUUGGUGACAAAGGCAUAGCUGUCAAAAAAGAGGCCAGUUUCCCUGCCUAAUUAAUCUCUAGAAUCAUGAUGAGUAUGGUGGAGAUGGAGCACAAAAACAAUUCAUUAUGACCAAAAAUCUAUCAUCUACCAAGACUCCUAUCUACUUCAGUGAGUAUUUUGUUUAAUUAAGGACUGAGAAUUUGACCCUUACUUAGCAAAGCUGCUUAUGUUUUUUAGCGCGUUUAAGAGAAGAACUCUAGAGAAAACUUACAUGAACUCAUAACUCAAGAACUCUAUCCUCUAUGCAGCAAUAAGGCCAAUUAGCUAAGCAGUAGGAUGAAUGUAUGUUAGUCUCCCAAUACAAUACCUCAGAAAAACAAUGAAGAUAAGAGGACAAAACCAGAUCAGUACAUCAUAGUGGUAGCUGACUCUGGAUCAAUCAAUAAAACCAUUAAAAAGCUGACCAAUAUCUGAGGUUACCCAAAAGGGCUACAAGGCAUACCGCCAAACUGGAGCAGAAAAGCUACAGAAAGAAAAAAAUGAGACGAGGGUUGAAAAAUAUACUAGACUGUUUCCUGGUUGAAGAGGAUAUGAGAAAAUCUGGUCAGAAUGGGAUGCCCUGUAUUCCACCUAUUCACAGAUCUAACUGCAGUACCUAAUGCCUCACAAAAGGUAUUGCUAUCACUUCGGUAAAAUGGAUACAACUGCCAACUCCAAAUAUCCUUCCAGAUCACCUAAAUCUAAAACAAUACCUCCUGGGCUGCUUUAGUUGUUUAUACAUAGGGAGGAGUAUGUACUUAUGUUGACCUAUUAAGCGCGCUGCUGCCUCAAAAGAUAUUCUCUAUGAAAUCCUGGAAAAUACUCUAAUUUAUUGAUGUACGGAACAUUCAUACUACAUUACACUGUUUGUUUACUUCGUUUAAUUUAUGGCAGCUUCUGUUUAUUUCAUUUCAGGUAGGAAAAGCAACAUGAUCCCCUUUUACUAACGGUCCAAAAACCUGUGCCAAAUGAGGUUCCUGUUCAAAGCUAAGCUAUUCUUGGAAGAGUAAACAAGUAAUGACAUGGAUAAGGUUCUUUUCCCCUACAAACUUCUCAUGAUCAGACAAGUCACUUCUAUACUCAUAAUCUUGUGUUUCUCAAUUGCUAACUACAAGAGCACACAAAUUUAAUGCAGCUUGUCAUGAUUUGGCAAAAAUAUGGAAUCUACACAAAGACAAAAUUUACUCAUAUAUAAUAAUGACAAUUUAUUACAUCACAACCAUUUCUUUACACACACACACACCCUCCCCCCCAGUGUACAUCACAAACACUAAACUGUUGUUUAUAGAAACACAGUGAGGGAAAAAGUCAUGUUUUACUAAACCAUGAGCCUAAAAGAUUAAGGACUGCUUAGAUAUUAUGGUGAUGGGCUCCAAAAUAACCAUCUAAGAUUGGUUUUUAAAAAUACACACCAGAUAAUAGCAUUAGGAAGAAAACAGAGCAGAGAGAAAAGAGGAAAAACAAGCAAUUAAACAAUGACAGGGAGGGAGCAGGAAGCCAAACAUAGCAGCAGAUUUGUAAGACUAGAUAAAAGAAAAAUAAGACAAGACUCACACCUUAUGACAGAGAUUGCUAUCACAUGACAGAGCACGUGGGUCCGGGUUGGUUCAGUACCACUAAGUCACGAGUAAGUUCACUAAAAGUCGAAAAAUCUACUUUUAAAAUAACUGCACACAAAAAAACUACAUUAAAAGAAUAUUAAGGUUGAAAACUCAAGCACUCAAAAGUUAGAUAAUGCCUGAACUAAGGUUGCCCGUGCAACCUUAAUUCAGUUCCCGUGUGCAUAUUCAUUAUGAGUGUUUUUAAGCACAUGAUCACAUACUAGUUUUGCCACGGGAUCCCUGCCUCUUUUAUAACUUGAGUUUACAGCUUGGCGAAAUAUGGGCAGAAUUUCAUGGAGAUGGCAAAAGGCAUAUCCCUGACACUAAAACCACUCCCCAUCAAAUUUCAAGUCCCUGUUUCAAGCAUUGGAGGGGGGGGGGGGUCGCUAGAGCUGUUCAAAGAAAAGAUUGCCAGAUUUUUUAAAAUAUGGGCAAUCCACAUAUUUAUCCCUAGCCCAGUCUUGGAAACAGCUAAACAAUUGUAGCUGAAAUUUUCAAAAAAAUUCAGCCCAACGUGCACAGCCAGCAUGUAAAAUUUCAGCCCAAAUGGCUACAGUUUGGCAAAGUUAAAAGAAACUAUAAAACGGGUCUUAAAAUGGGAGUGUCAGGCAAAAUUUUACACAAGGCAAUGUGGAAUAUUUGGUGCAAAAAAGAAAUAAAUUAAAUUUAAAAUAAUUCAGAGAACAACAUUUUCAAUGCCCCAAUAUCACGGCAAGUCAGUUCUUAGGUCUAAGAAGCUUGACAAUAUUCUUUUAAAAGUCCACCUGAAGAAAUGUUUACUCAACUCCAAAUGUGAACUUUAUUUUUCUUAAAGAAAAAAGUACCUCUGGAUAUUGCUUUACAAUAAGAAGAAAAAUAGAAAAAGAACAUGAAAUACAAUAGAAAAGCAAUAAAUCCUCUCGUGGGUCUUUGAUAUGUUUGGAGACUGGGAGGACAAAGUCCAAAUGGCACAUCUGUUUAAAAUGUCUUUUUCUGUUAUAGCCACUUAGACACAGGAGACCUGUUUAGAAACAAGUUUGUGAAACUAUGCUGGGAAAGGAAUGAACGAGUGUUUAAUUGAUUUCUCUUCAAAAUCAACAGAAAUAAAACUAACUUAAUUGGCUUGUAAUAUAUCUCAGCCAAUAUACAAGAGUUGUUUCUCCCAAAGUGUUUCAAAUAGCAGGGAAAAUAUUAAUACUGGUGAUAAACUAAUACGAUCAAACACCACCCCCAAAAAAGUUCCUGAAUAUGUUCUGAAAGGUACAUAUUUAGUUUUUGAUCAUGGAAUGGAGUUUAAAGCACUUGCUUAGAAAUCUACAGAAACAAUGUCAUAUAUUUUUGUGACACACUUAAAAUUUUUCCGCAGUGCCCAUUACUACAGUAUCUGACCAGUGAAGCGCUAUAUUAAAGCUGCUUGCCAUUGUCCACAGUGGAUUUCAUACAGGAGUCCACUCAUAGCCAUAACAAAUUCUAGAAACAUAAUAAGUUCUGUGGGUUUUUUUUUUCCUGUUUGUUGAAACAGUCACUCAAAUAGUAACAGAACCCCAGUUCCAUACAAUUCUGUAUAAUAUGACGUGAACUCAGAAGUUUAAUUGGUUGAUUACUACAGUGAAAGACCCCCCCCCUCUUCCAAGCAGAACUUUAAAUCUGAUUUUAAUUUUGAUUGUAAUUAAAGGUAACUUUAGGAUCUCUGCCUAUACACACAUUCUUUAAAAAAACCCAACCCACUAAACUAAAGUGCACUUGGAAAUUUACAUAUAUAUUUUUCUGAGCUUCUAAAUUCAAUACAAUUAUAUUCCCAACUUUAUUUCUGAAGGUGAAAGAGAAUAAAGUUUCCUAAGAGUGAAAGAAGGUUUACUAUUUGUGAUGAUAAUCCAGACCUGUAAACCCCUCCAAACCCAGAAGAGUUAAGAUAAGAAGAAAACCUGGGAAAAAAUAACCAAGCACAUUUUCUUAUCGGUUCCUCAAAAACCACACGGAAGCGUUGCACUCUUUUUUCACAGAACCCAAGAUUAUUCUGUAGAUCAUAUUAUAUUAUGCUAAUUCUUCCUGAAAUGAUGUUUUCCUUGUUCAUUUCUUGGUGGUUUUACGGUUUGUUUUCUUGUCUAUCUGGAUAAAUGAAACCACCAUAGAUUAAAGUUUUUAGUCUUUCUGAGACACACUUCCCCUUAUAAAUAUUUACAUUCCCUAGUCUUCCUGCCAUUUUGCUUUGGAAAUUUUAUCAUCAUUCUGCUAUGAAGGUAUUAAGCUACUAAAGAUUUAUUUUUAAAUCAGGAAGUCCUACUCUUUCAUGCAGCAAAGCUAAUGUGUUACAUUUAAUUCAGCAGUUAGCUCUUCCCUUAUGAAAGCUCAAUGGUUUGCUAAUGAGUCAGACUGGAAAAAAAGGUGCUUUGCAAUGCUAACAUUUUCUGCAAUGUAAGUUAGAGCAGUGCAGCGUGAUUGUUCAUUGCUAUUGUAAAACAGAAACAGAACCAGUAACAUUACAGAUCCUGGUGACGGAUAAAGCAACUGAUAUUUCCCCAAAACAUUAUUUAAAACUUUGAAAAAAUAUUGCAUUUAUAUCAAAGUGUUUUGUGAAAUAUUAAAUGCAGUUUGCAAGAGAAAAACCUUUCACCAACCACUGAUAGUUUGCACCGGAAAUUACUACAUGAUGUAACUUGGUUUCCGUAUGUUUCCCUUGAAGGCUGUAGCCACAGUGUUUGAUAUAUUCAUAGGUUGAAAUAAAACUUAGCUUUAACAAACACUGCAGAAAAACAAUACAAGAAAAUGGUUAAUAAUUGCAAAUUUUUGCAAUAUUUGCAGUUUCUCAUUUGACUCAUCAUAUGCAGACAUGACAAUCUCAUAUUAAAGACCAGUACAAUUUCAAAACAGUUUUAACAAUGGUUCCUUGCUGAAGGAGACUUUUGAUAAUAAAUGUACCUACCUCCCCUCUUAUAUUUCAGAUAUGUGCUUUUUCAGCUACUCAUUUUCUCCCCCUCAGACCAGAUUCUCUUUCUGCUUGAUCCUGGAGUGAAAUCAUAAUGUUGCAUUUAUGACUUCACACACUUUUAACGCAACACAAUGAUGUCACAAAACAGGAUUAAUUACUUCACUAAUGGAGCAAGAAACAAGGAGAAAAUGAGAUCCAAUUCACACACAAGAGAGAACCUGGCCAAUUAAGUAAAUUGUGUACAUAUUCUCUGUUGAAGCUUGCUCUCGUGUGAAAAUUCCUUGUAUACAGAGAGAGAAUAUCAUGAAACUGCCCACACUUCCGCAGAUAAUGGUUCACAGAAGAAAAUUUAGUCCCUUAUCCUAUAAGCACUUAAUCACAUGUGUAAUUUUAAUCAGAUGAGCCUUUACUCUCGUAGACAUCAAUGGACUAUUUCCAUUUGUAAAAUUCAGUGUGUAAAUAUUUGUAGAAUUGGACCUUAGAUUAUGGAUAAUAUUGGCAUCUUCUCUAGUGAGUUUAUAGGGGCCAGAAAUACUGUAGAACUGUAGAGGGCUUUCUGCCCCCAUAAAAGAUGGAAGAGUCAAACUGUGUAGCCAAUAGAUGUCCUCUCAGCUAGGAAGUGAAGUGCUUUUUGACAGCCACUAUUACAUGAAAUCAAGAAAAAGUUUAACUGAGUAAAAAUAUCAAUUCAGAAUGGAGGGCUAGGCGAAACACAAAACAACUUUACUUUAACCAACGAAGGUUCAGAAGGCUCUAUCUGGGUGAAAUGAGAAGCCCUUCAAUUCCACCAGACAUUAAACUGUUAUUAUUUAGGAAUGUUCUAUGCACUUUACAAACAUAUAAGAAACUUCCCCGAACAACUUACAAUAUAACCAUUGACACCAAGGAGUAGGAUAAAAGAUUCAGAGAUUUUUUUAAGGCCAGAGGAAACCAUUAUGAUCAGAGGAUACAGUGAGUUUCCCUUUAACUUCCAACUCCUUGACUUUUAUUGCUUUUAUUUUUAACUCUUGCCUAUUAGCACUUUUUAAUAUAAAUUCAAGGCAACUUUCUAUUUUCAUUUAGCUUUUAAAUUCUUGCCUGCUUUUAAACUUCAAUUGUUUAUUUUUUAAAAUUAUCUUAUUAAGAGACAAUAAAGUAUGGGUUAGUUUAACUAGGAAAGAGCUUGACCCUUUGCCUCAGCCCACGCGUAUUUUAACUUUUUCAGAUAGAAAACUAGCAAGAAGUCUUGCCUCUUACUUCAAGAGCCCAUUGUGUGAUCCUCUGACAUAUCUCAGUGUCUCUUUUUUAACCAUGCCUCUUUUUCUGUCAUUCUCUUCCCUCCAGUUCUCACUCACUAGUCAAUUCUGACCAUGCCAAAAGAACUGCUGCACAACCAAAUGAGAGGGAAAAUUAUAUGAGGAAAUAAGGGAAUAAGGCUUCUCCUCAUCCUGGGGCUAACAUAUAUUUCCUAUAUCACUCUCCUGCUGCCUUCUGGCCAUGCUGUAUCACAUAACAAAGAAGAAAGCGUCUACCCGAAGUUCUUGUCAAGUAAAACUAAUCAAAGAGACAGAAGAGUAGCAAGAAGGAUCAUCAUCGGAAUCACUACCUUUCUACUUAUUACACCCUAUGACUUCUCUGAUACCAGUUCCAAUAUAUUGGCAGCAUGGAUAUUUCAUGUGUGGAAUGGAACUUUGAAGUGGACGUUAUUCUGUGAUGGCUGUGAACAAAGAAAUGAUAAACGGAUUCCACCUCUUGGCCACUAAAAUUUUGUUGCCACUCUUUGCUUCUCCUUCACAUCAUUCUCAUUCUGAUAUCAUGUAUUUAUUCACAUCUAUUAUCCCAGACGACACAACUUGUUUCCCCUGAUACAAAGGCACUACUCAAGAGCUGUGAAGGACAGCCAAUAUAAUAUGGAGUGUAUUGUUUACAUUAUAAAUGGAUUAAAUAUGGACUGGGGCAACAUGCUCCUCUCUAUCAAAUGUUUUUCACACUAAACCUUUGUUCAUUUUAAUAUACUUAGUAAAUGUAGGUCCCCCCCACUUUUUUUUUUUUUUUUUUUUGGUGAGACAAAGACCCUAUACAGACCAAGCUCAUGUGGCCUCACACCUCUGAGAUCCAAAGACGGUAGCACCCUGUAACGAAUCCAUCAAAGAUCACUGCAAGGAACACUACCUUCUAAAUUGAGAAUCGACUGUGACUGAUGACACCAUCAACUCCAUUCUUCAGUACCCAAUAUGGGAAACUCUUGCCAACCCACCAAACACCCGAGGAGGCAAAGCAAUUAAACAAAUGAAGAACAAUAAAGCACCAGGUCCUGAUGGCAUACCAGCUGAAGUACCGAAAGUAGGGGGAGAAAUACUGAUUAACAAGCUUCACUUGCUGCUCCUCAAAAUCUGGUGCACUGAAGAAAUCCCUGCUGACUUACGUAAUGCUAACAUUGUCACCAUUUUCAAAAAGGGAGACAGGGCCGAUUAUGACAACUAUCAAGGCAUUGCCCUCCUCUCCAUCACUGGGAAAAUUCUUGCUAGAAUCUUACUGAAUCGCCUGCUCCCUCUUGCAGAGGAGGUACUUCUAGAGUGCAAGUGCAGCUUCAGAACAUCACGAGGCACCACCGACAUGAUUUUUGCAGCCAGGCAGAUCCAGAAAAAACAUCAACACCACCACCAGGAUCUGUAUAUGGCCUUUAUCGAUCUGACCGAAGCCUUCGACUCUGUCAACCGUGAGGCUCUGUGGAAAAUCAUGUCAAAGUUUGGCUGCCAAAGCAAAAUCAUCACCAUUGUAAGACUCCUCCACGACCAGAUGACUGAAUCCAUCCUAUGCAGCGGCUCUACCUCUGAGCCCUUUGUCAUCCGAACGGGCAUAAAACAAGGUUGUGUACUGGCACCCACCCUUUUCUCCAUUUUCUUAGCAGCUAUGAAAACACUAACCCAAGAUGGUCUACCACAGGGCAUUGGCAUCCAAUAUUGGAUUGAUGGCAACCUCUUCAACCUUUCUUGUCUCCGUACUAGAACUAAAGUAAUAUCGGCAACAACAACCGACCUCCAAUACGCAGAUGAUUGUGCUGUAGUUGCACACUCUUCAAACAGCCCUUAAUUGCUUCUCAAAGCUUACAAAAAACUAGGGCUAACUCUGAACAUCGGCAAAACAAAAGUUCUCCACCAGCCAGUCCCCGGUCAAUCAUCAGACCCAGCAAGGAAGAUGUAUAUAGACAAAGAGUAACUGGAAAAUGUAGAAUACUUUGUCUAUCUUGGCAGCCAUGUCUCACAGAAGGCAGACAUAGGCAUCGAGAUUCAGCACAGAAUUCACUAUGCCAGCCUUGCCUUUGGCAGACAGUCUGGCCGGGUGUUCAACAAUCACAUCAUCAAAACACAUAGUAGACUUUUAGUUUAUAAAGUGGUGGUAAUCCCAACUCUCCUCUAUAGCUGUGAGAUUUGGGUGAGCUAUAGAAAACACCUGAAAAACCUGGAACGCCAGCACCAGCACUUACUUUGGAAGAAAUUCAACAUAAACUGGGAGGAUCAUCACACUAAUGUCAAUGUCCUCAAAGAGGCGCUGAUUAUCCAGCACCAGCUGGGGUGCAGCGGGGCACUGUGUGUACAUGCCUGAUGAACACUUACCAAAACAAUUACUGUAUGUCCAACUCACCAAAGGAGAAAGAAAAUGAGGAGGCCAAAAGAAAUGCUUUAAAUACACCCUCAAGAUAAACAUCAAGAGAUGUGGCAUUGACACCACACACACUGGGAGACAGCAGCUCAGGAUAGGGAUAACUGGCAAAGACUUGUCAGAGAGCAAACGUCCACUGUUGAGGAAAAUCUCCUUGCCCUGGUCGCAGAAAAACGCCAGAAAAGAAAGGAAAGACAACGGUCACACAGCAACUGUGACCCAACCCUGUCUUCCAACACGACCCGCAAUGUCUGCCAAUGAGCCUGUGGCUCAAGGAUCGGACUACUCAGUCACCAAAAGACUCAUGAAAAAUAAAACCUGUGAAAGAGAUUAUCCUCAACCUCGAGGAAUUGCCGAUGAGGUCCCUUAAUUCAAUAUUCACUGUACACACGUGGACAAAGGAAUUUAAAUAACUAACUGGCAGUAUAUUAUGAAAGAGGUUAAUUUUAGAAAGAUGGAAAAGGCUACCUCUUUUGGAGGUGCUUAUCAAAUUGUCUCCAUGUUUAAUAAUUGCAUGAAGCAUCUUUAAAACUUCCAGAUUAAUAAAGAAGAAACACAUCAUGAAGCUAUGUUAAAAAGUUACUAUCAAGAGGUUGUGGAAAAAGAGACUGUCAAACUAAUUUGAUAUCUUUUUUGAUGAGAUUGCAAGUUUGGUUGAUAAAAGUAACAUGUUGUUCCAAUAUACUUAGACUUCUGUAAGGCAUUUGACUUGGGACCACAUGACAUUUUGAUUAAAAAAACUAGAAUGAUAUAAAAUUAACAUGGCAAACAUCAAAUGGAUUAAAAACUGGCUAACUCAUAGGUCUCAAAAUGUAACUGUAAAUGGAGACUCAUCAUCGAUGAGAGAUCGGUUCUUGGCACUAUGCUAUUUAACAUUUUUAUCAAUGACCUGGAAGAAAUCAACACUGAUGUAGUUUGCAGGUAAAAAAAAAAAAAAAUGGGGGGGACUGGUAAACGAAGAGGACAAGUUACUGA